rnacentral:rRNA from 1 species
GUAUGUUGACGUAUUCUGAAAGGGAUACUUCUUCGGACAAUAUACAAGGUGCUGCAUGGUUGUCGUCAGCUCGUGCCGUGAGGUGUCGGGGUUAAGUCCCCAUAACGAGCGCAACCCCUAUCAUUUAGUUGCCAUCAGGUCAAGCUGGGGACUCUAAUGAAACUGCCUACGCAAGUAGUGAGGAAGGUGGGGAUGACGUCAAAUCAGCACGGCCCUUACGUCCAGGGCUACACACGUGCUACAAUGGCCGAUACAGAGGGCAGCUACCUGGUGACAGGAUGCAAAUCUCCAAAGUCGGUCUCAGUUCGGAUCGGAGUCUGCAACCCGACUCCGUGAAGUUGGAUUCGCUAGUAAUCGCGCAUCAGCCAUGGCGCGGUGAAUACGUUCCCGGGCCUU